UACGUAGGGUGCAAGCGUUGUCCGGAAUUAUUGGGCGUAAAGAGCUCGUAGGCGGUUUGUCGCGUCUGCUGUGAAAACUCGAGGCUCAACCUCGAGCUGUCGGUGGAAACUUUCUGGCUAGAGUCCGGAAGAGGAGAAUGGAAUUCCUGGUGUAGCGGUGAAAUGCGCAGAUAUCAGGAAGAACACCCGUGGCGAAGGCGGUUCUCUGGGACGGUACUGACGCUGAGACGCGAAAGCGUGGGGAGCGAACAGG
rnacentral:rRNA from 1 species